rnacentral:tmRNA from 1 species
GCACUUCCAACUGGCCACCCAAACCAUUAUAUUACGUGUGCCGCCUCGCAAGGGGCGGCUAUGGCGAUAAACGGACACCGCAAUAAACCAUUCGGACCCGGGGGCAGUACCCGGCGGCUCCACCAGGGGCAGUGGUCGGUGAUCAGAAGUCAGAGGUCAAGGGACCUCUCCUUCUUGACCUCUGAUUACUGACCACUGAUCCCUGACAAGGGGCCGAAACAGGAUCGACGGGGGUGUAAAGGGUGAACUUUUGCUCGUGAUGGUUCCGACGUUAUCGGGCUAAACAUAUAGUUGCCAACGACAACUAUGCUCCGGUUGCUCUCGCUGCUUAACGCAGUGCGAGUGCCGAAAUUGAAGUCCUAGGGCCUUAGCAGCUCUAGGCGGGGUCCGCCGGCACCUGGCAACAGAAGCCGGCACU